rnacentral:rRNA from 1 species
UACGUAGGGUGCGAGCGUUGUCCGGAAUUAUUGGGCGUAAAGAGCUCGUAGGCGGUUUGUCGCGUCGACUGUGAAAACCUACAGCUUAACUGUGGGCUUGCAGUCGAUACGGGCAGACUUGAGUUCGGUAGGGGAGACUGGAAUUCCUGGUGUAGCGGUGAAAUGCGCAGAUAUCAGGAGGAACACCGGUGGCGAAGGCGGGUCUCUGGGCAGUAACUGACGCUGGGGAGCGAAAGCGUGGGGAGCGAACAGG